rnacentral:rRNA from 1 species
GAUGAACGCUAGCGGCAGGCCUAAUACAUGCAAGUCGAACGGUGUCUUCGGACAUAGUGGCGCACGGGUGCGUAACACGUAUGCAACCUACCUUACAUUGGGGGAUAGCCUUUCGAAAGGGAGAUUAAUACCGCAUAAGACAGUAGCUGGGCAUCCAGCAGCUGUUAAAGAUUUAUCGAUGUAAGCUGGGCAUGCGUCCAAUUAGCUAGUUGGUGAGGUAACGGCUCACCAAGGCAAUAAUUGGUAGGGGAACUGAGAGGUCAAUCCCCCACCCUGGCACUGAGAUACGGGCCAGACUCCUACGGGAGGCAGCAGUAGGGAAUAUUGGGCGAUGGACGCAAGUCUGACCCAGCCAUGCCGCGUGCAGGAUGAAGGCGUUAUGCGUUGUAAACUGCUUUUAUACAGGAAGAAACGACUCUUGCGAGAGGCAUUGACGGUACUGUAUGAAUAAGCACCGGCUAACUCCGUGCCAGCCGCCGCGGUAACAC